rnacentral:lncRNA from 1 species
CUAUAAUUAAAAUUAUAUAAAAUACACUAUUGUUAAAAAAGUUUUAUGCCAGUUAAUGGCUGCAUUGAAGAAUCUAAGGGUUAUGUGUUCAAUAUGCAUGCCCUAUACAGUACUAAAAUAGUAUCUAUACUGUGGCACAAAGAUGUAAUAUUAAAAAAAGUUAUUUUAAAGAUUAAAUACAUAAAGCAGAUACUGUCUUGGAAGAUCCAGAUUCAAUUCCAUAUGGAAGAAACUGAUUCAAUUCUAAAAUUGAACUCUCUUGAAAUACCCAGAUUUCUCUUGAAAAACUGAAGCUAUUUCAGUUCAGUUUUUCAAGAGUGAUCUGAGUUUGGGCCCAGCUCAUUAACUAAAACUAAUUUAAUAAGCCCAUAAAAUAUAUACUUAUAAUAAAUGAUGAAAUUAGAAGAAAAAUGCUUCUAUCUCUGCAUCAUAGCAUUAAUCAC